CUUUAUUGUCCAGCUUCAAAACUACUAAAUAAACUAGAAACCAAUACCAUGGGAAUGCUGAUAGCUGCUGCUUGAGAUUUUGCUGGGCUGAAUUUGGCUUUCACUUUCUACUGAACAAGCAUCACUGAAGUUUUGUCUGUACUAUAGCCCCAUCUGCCCCUGGUUCUGCAUGACUGGAAAUUUGUACUCAGUGUGAAGUUUCCAUGACAGUGAGGCAUGUGCUGCAACUUACAAGAAAUAUGUUAAGGGAUGCUCUGAGAUGUGACAUGAAGGUGCCCAGCCAACAGAAGAGCUCUGCAGACCUUCCUCCUUUUAAAAAGCUGAGGUCUUCUGGCACCUGUGAGGAGAAUGGUGAGAAGCUUCACAGAUUAAACAGAUUUUGGUACUUGACCUAAAAGGAUCAACAGGAAAAGCAAAUGCAGCAGACACCACUCUCAGCACAGCCCCACACAGCUCUGCACAGUGGUACCAACCCAGAGAGAGAAUCUGUGCUGGGACACUGACUUUUCCUGAGCUAUUGGAAAAGCUGAUCAUUGCCAAGAGAUAUGGAAAACAGCAUUUUUUGUCAGCUCCAAGCAGGCAUGGAGUAAGAACAAUUGGGAAUCUUUGUAUCUGGCAUUUCCCAUGUAAAGUUGGUGCUCCUGCUUCAGACUGUUAACAUUGCCACCAAGCUGGGACAAGGAAACCCCCUUGGUAUCAGCCUCAGAACUGACCUAUGAACCACAGGACCCAGGACCUCUGGUCUCCUUUCACUUGAUCUGCAGCCGCUGCAGCACUGGGAUUCCUCAUGACUAUCAGGGAAACUUUCAGAGCUUUUUCCUGUGAAAUUUUUCAUUGUUGAAAUCUCUAGAACUCAAGUUAGAUAGCAACUAAAGUGCCUUCCUAUACAUGUAGUCUGACAACUUCCAUCAGAUGACCCAUAAGGAUUUUCAAAAUCUUAUGUUAC